GAAUAAGAUCAAAACAGACAACACUCAAGCAACGCAAACGCAGAUAAUUUCAUUACAAACAAGAAACAUGUUCCUCCCAUCAAACAUUCAUCACAACAUCUGCAAUAUCAACCAAAAAAAUGUUUCCUUUCAAUUAUAAAUUCCUUCACAGUCCGCCCUGGAAUUUCUAGAAUCAUCAACCAAGUCAUCAGCAUCCAUAGCUACAACUGUUGGCAAUGGACCAACAUCUGCAUGACCAUCUUCACAAUCGUCUUCACUGUAUCUUCUUGUAGGACCUCUCAUAGCUACAUACCAACCGGAUGACUCAUCUACUCUAGAAUAAAAUAUUUGCUUGGCUUGUGAGGCGAGGAUGUAUGGAUCUCUAGCAAAAGCCAUUUGGCUUUGGUUCAGGUUGACUAGUGUGAAGCCAUCUUCUACCUUCACUCCAUUUCCUAUGUUUGCCCAUUGGCACCGGAAUACAGGAAUGUAGAAUGUAUUGUAGUGGAUCAGUAGAAUCUCCACCACUC
rnacentral:lncRNA from 1 species